CUGCCUCCUGUAACAGUUAUUUGCAUAAUCCCCCAGGGGUUACUGGGAGAUAUUCAAAUUAGCUUAUCAAAUAUGUUUAAGCGUCCUAAGCCGAGCGCAACAUGUGUUUUUGCUUUGGUUUCUCUCAUCUCGCAGCUGAGCUCAAUCCUGAUGGGCGUUUUGUGGUGUCGGCGUUUGUAAGGCGUCUCAGAGCCGCAUCAGAUGACCUCACACAUCACCUCCAUCAAUGUUCGAAUUCAUUUGAGAAGAGAAAACGAGAUGCUCUGAAAGUUUGUCCAGCGUGAGUCAGGAUGUGUUUCUCAUCGCAGGCUGAUGCUUUCAGAGGAGACAGACGGAGAAACAGGGCCGUGAAGCAGCGGACGCUCAUCUACAGCUGUGAAGAACUGAAGCCAUCUGUGACUCUGAGACACGCCGAUCGCUCCGUCACCGUCCUCACGCUGAAGAAUCACACGCAACAGUUCUGUUAUAGUAACAUCAGUCGGUGAUCACGGGCCGGUUCUGAAGGAGCUUCUCCGAUCCUCCGGUUCAGUCUUUGGCACCGUUUCAGUGGAAAAGAGGCCGAGACCGUCAUCAUCAUCAUCAUCAUCAUCAUCUCUGCUCUGCUUCUGUUCUGCUCUCUGAGGUUUUGAGGUCAUCUGCGCUCUCUUCAUCUCUACCUCUGAUUAAUCACGUUUCUUUGGGUCAGCGGACCUCAUGCGACAGGAUCCUCAGGAUCGCAGUGAUCCUCCGCUUCGUAUUUUCCGUUCCUGGACCCCCAGAUUGCAAAAUCGAUUCCAGCAGCUUCUCGCAGCAGUAAAAGAUCUGCGUGUGACUGCAGUCACUGAUUUGUGUCCAAGCCGCAGGUUUAUUAUGUGCCGAAGUUAAUAUUAUUGAUAUUACGCUCCUUUAGAGAGGAAAGACCCCCGAUCCGUGACAGAUGUCUUUCAUUUGAGGAGCGACGCUCAAUAUCUUCCAUCAUUAUGAAGAGACCUGAAGGCUUCAUCUCGCCUCUGUCUUCUUCUGCUCUCGAGAUGAUCUCGUUUCAUCUCGUUUAUUCUGUUCCCUGAGACUGCUAGUUAAUUGAUAAACUGCUGGUGUGUGUGUUUGACGGUCAUCUGUGUGUGUCUGGUUAGCAGGCUGAGGAACGGCUCACGCUCGCUCUCACAUUACUCUUCAUUUGCGGCGAGUCGAAGUACAGCGCCCUCGCGUCUCCCACGACAAACUGAAAUUUAUUGAGCUGCCCGACUCGUGCUAAUUGAAAGAAAUUGUGUGUCUGUUUGCGUUGCGGACUGUUUGAGGAGUGUGUGAGGUGGCAUGUUACAGCGUGAGGAGCAGCGUGAGCGCCACCUACUGACGGCUGGAGUAACGCCGUUACAUCAGCAGGUACUCAGAAAGAUCACUUUAGCUAGCUGGAAUACAUGUUUUAUUAAUUAUUAAUCAUUAUUAAGAUCAAAAGUUGUAUCUGUUGACAUUCUGAACUAACAUGAACAUUAUCAAAGAUUAAUAAAUACUGUAAAAUUGUAGGCAACACUUUA